AGCUCCAAUAGCGUAUAUUAAAGUUGUUGCAGUUAAAAAGCUCGUAGUUGAAUUUUGGGCCCGGUUGGUUGGUCUGCCAUUGGUAUGCACUUUCCGACUGGGCCUUUCCUUCUGGCGAACUAUUGUGCUAUUCAUUUAGUGCGAUAGGGAACCAGGACUUUUACUUUGAAAAAAUUAGAGUGUUUAAAGCAGGCUUACGCUUGAAUACAUUAGCAUGGAAUAAUAGAAUAGGACUUUGGUUUUAUUUUGUUGGUUUCUAAGACCGAAGUAAUGAUUAAUAGGGAUAGUUGGGGGCAUUAGUAUUUAAUCGUCAGAGGUGAAAUUCUUGGAUUGAUUAAAGACUAACUUCUGCGAAAGCAUUUGCCAAGGAUGUUUUCA
rnacentral:rRNA from 1 species